CCUACGGGAGGCAGCAGUGAGGAAUAUUGGACAAUGGGCGCAAGCCUGAUCCAGCCAUGCCGCGUGCAGGAUGACGGUCCUAUGGAUUGUAAACUGCUUUUAUACGGGAAGAAACCCUGCCACGUGUGGCAGAUUGACGGUACCGUAAGAAUAAGGAUCGGCUAACUCCGUGCCAGCAGCCGCGGUAAUACGGAGGAUCCAAGCGUUAUCCGGAAUCAUUGGGUUUAAAGGGUCCGUAGGCGGGCUAGUAAGUCAGUGGUGAAAUCUCCCCGCUCAACGGGGAAACGGCCAUUGAUACUGCUAGUCUUGAAUUAUUGGGAAGUAACUAGAAUAUGUAGUGUAGCGGUGAAAUGCUUAGAGAUUACAUGGAAUACCAAUUGCGAAGGCAGGUUACUAUCAAUAUAUUGACGCUGAUGGACGAAAGCGUGGGUAGCGAACAGGAUUAGAUACCCUGGUAGUCCACGCCGUAAAACGAUGGACUACUAGCUGGUUGGGUUAGUCGAAGACUACUAGUAGGUACGUAAGUACGAAGUAGAAGUAAAGUAACGUACCGACCGUACGGGUAGGGUAACGGGGUCGGCGACGACGUACGAACGUUAACGAAGUUAGUUAGUUAGGACGGACGUUGAGACGNGCGACGGACGACGACGAGGGAGGAGG
rnacentral:rRNA from 1 species